CCCUUAGAUGUUCUGGGCCGCACGCGCGCUACACUGAUGCAUUCAACGAGUCUAAAACCUGCUCUGAUAGGGGUGGGUAAUCUUUUGAAUGUGCAUCGUGAUUGGGAUAGAUGAUUGCAAUUUUUCAUCUUCAACGAGGAAUGCCUAGUAAACGCAAGUCAUCAGCUUGCAUUGAUUACGUCCCUGCCCUUUGUACACACCGCCCGUCGCUCCUACCGAUUGAAUGAUCCGAUGAAUAUCAUGGAUUGAGGAUGCAAGCAGGUUCGCCUGUCUUCAUCUUCGAGAAGUGAAGUAAAUCUUAUCAUUGAGAGGAAGGAGAAGGCGUAACA
rnacentral:rRNA from 1 species